rnacentral:rRNA from 1 species
UGGGGAAUAUUGCACAAUGGGCGAAAGCCUGAUGCAGCGACGCCGCGUGAGGGAUGACGGCCUUCGGGUUGUAAACCUCUUUCAGCAGGGAAGAAGCGAAAGUGACGGUACCUGCAGAAGAAGCGCCGGCUAACUACGUGCCAGCAGCCGCGGUAAUACGUAGGGCGCAAGCGUUGUCCGGAAUUAUUGGGCGUAAAGAGCUCGUAGGCGGUUAGUCGCGUCUGCUGUGAAAACUCGAGGCUCAACCUCGGGCUUGCAGUGGGUACGGGCUGACUAGAGUGCGGUAGGGGUGACUGGAAUUCCUGGUGUAGCGGUGGAAUGCGCAGAUAUCAGGAGGAACACCGAUGGCGAAGGCAGGUCACUGGGCCGCAACUGACGCUGAGGAGCGAAAGCAUGGGGAGCGAACAGGAUUAGAUAGCCCUGGUAGUCCAUGCCGUAAACGUUGGGCACUAGGUGUGGGUCCAUUCCACGGAUUCCGUGCCGCAGCAAAGCGCAUUAAGUGCCCCGCCUGGGGAGUACGGCCGCAAGGCUAAAACUUAAAGGAAUUGACGGGGUCAUAGCUGUUUCC